rnacentral:rRNA from 1 species
GCAAGUCGAGCGGUAGCACAGAGAGCUUGGUCUCGGGUGACGAGCGGCGGACGGGUGAGUAAUGCCUAGGAAUCUGCCUGGUAGUGGGGGACAACGUUUCGAAAGGAACGCUAAUACCGCAUACGUCCUACGGGAGAAAGCAGGGGACCUUCGGGCCUUGCGCUAUCAGAUGAGCCUAGGUCGGAUUAGCUAGUUGGUGGGGUAAUGGCUCACCAAGGCGACGAUCCGUAACUGGUCUGAGAGGAUGAUCAGUCACACUGGAACUGAGACACGGUCCAGACUCCUACGGGAGGCAGCAGUGGGGAAUAUUGGACAAUGGGCGAAAGCCUGAUCCAGCCAUGCCGCGUGUGUG